UGUUGCUGUGUGUUUGCAUUUUAGAAGUUCCAGCGUGAGUUAAGCACCAAGUGGGUAUUGAAUACAGUGAGUACUGGGGCCCAUGUGCUGCUGGGAAAGAUCCUACAGAACCACAUGCUGGACCUCUGCAUCGCCAACUCCAAACUCUUCUGGAGGGCACUGGCCACGUUGCAGAGGUUCUCUGGACAGUCCAAGGCUCGCUGCAUCGAGAGCCUUCUUCAAGUCAUCCAUUUUCCUCAAUGGCUGCUGGAUGAUGUCCGUGCUGCCCCAAUCUCCUGCCAUGUCCAGGUUGCCCACGAGAAGGAAAAGGUACCUUUCCCCAGCUGGCUAUUCAACAAACACUUUCUGAGGACCUUAAGCACCUUCGGAACUUUGUGUGACACUACAAUUACAAAGUUUACAAAGCUCUGAGAUACCCUGCCCCAUGGAGCUCCCAUUUCAAGGGGUGGAUGGCUGGGGUAGGGACGAGGUGAAGAGGUAUGACUGUGACAGAAGCUACAGAGGCAAAAAAGAUACUAAGGGGUCUUCUGUUUUGCCUUGGAGGGGCGUCAAGAAAGAGCAAGAGAAGGGUUCUUUGCACAGAAGUUUUCCAUCUUCGGGGGUGGUUUUUCACUACUCUUGACCCCAUCUCUUUCUAGUCCGGAUAACAACCUCCUAUACUUGCUUCCAACCUGUGCCCAAUUCUUUAGCUCCUCCAGGGUUCUUCCUCAAAUGACCAUUCAUUUUCUUCAGUUGUCCCUGCUUUCCCUCAAGUGAUCCCCACAGCCUUACUGAGCCUCCUAUUCAGUGCUCCCUCACUGAGACUAAGGCAUGUCUGGCUGCAGCUUCUUCAGUAUGUGAGGUUGUUAGAAGCAUCCUCUCUGGCCAAGGUCAGAAGCGCAGCACGCAAACCCUUGGAGACCCUACCGCCUGUGGUGCCCUGAAUGGAUGUUUCUGAGACCGUGGAGGGGGCAGACAUGGGCAGAGUCCCCCUGCAGUUCCCAGAGGACUUGUGCCAGCAAUACAGUUGUGGGGACAAUCUCAGUUUCAGCAGACACAUGAAAGGACCCAUGAUGAAGGAGUAUAAAUAUGAGCCCACAGACAGUAAUUGAGGAGCCCUGAGCAUUGUUUUGAUUGCUCUGCCUUGCUAUUCUUCCCUGAGGACACGCAUGUAUUGGUUUUCCUGUACAUAGCAUUGUUGAGCUCAGCUUGUGGUAAUGCCACCAUUGA